ensembl:lncRNA
CCCGCCGCUUUCUUCUCGCGCCCCUCCCCUUCACGCACACGCCCCUUCCUGAUUUCCACCGAAGGAGCGCCUGCAGGUCAGGGAACUGCAGAAAGCUGUGAUUGGCAGCCAUAGGGAGGCGGGCACCGGAGGCGGUACCGGAUCUGGGGCGCGCGCGCAGGUGGCGGUGGAGAGUACAGGAGGGCGUGGGCGGUGUGAGAGAAGAAAGGGAUAUGGGGAUAUAAAGGGAGACGCUUCUGAACCACCCUCCGAAUACCCAGAAGCCAGAGCCGGGGAGCUACGCUUAAAGGUUUUGGAGAAAGGAUUUGGCAGUCAUCACCCCGUGUGCGGAGUAAAGCAAAAUAAGUCAGCCCUGUGUAGAAAAAAGAAACCUUUUCUCAGAGAGGUCUUUGUUUGGAUUUUACGAAGCCAGAACUGGAGCUGAUCUUCGCCCCCACCCUGCGUCAAGUACAUGGUGUAUUACAGCACAUACGAGUAUGUUCAAAGGCAGUGAUCAGAAGGAAAUACACCGUCUUCCAAUCCCAUGUCAUAUUUUAAAACAAAGCAACGAUCUUUUUCCUGGAGAAAAAUCCUUGGAAUUAUGGGAUUUUCUUUUCUCAAAUUUCCUUUACUUAGUUACAUAUAAAAAUACUAAUUUUAGAGACUGGAGAGAUGUCUCAGCGGUUAAAAGCACUAGAUGCUCUUCCAGAGGACUUGGGUUCAAUCCCCAGCACCCACAUACAACCCACACUGGUCUGUAACUCCACUUCCAGGAGACCUGACAAAACACCAAUGCACAUAAGACCG